ACGGGAGGCAGCAGUGAGGAAUAUUGGUCAAUGGGCGGAAGCCUGAACCAGCCAAGUCGCGUGAAGGAUGAAGGUAUUAUGUAUUGUAAACUUCUUUAGUCGCAGGGAAAUAAGGCGGACGAGUCCGCUGAUGCUAGUAUGCGAAGAAUAAGGAUCGGCUAACUCCGUGCCAGCAGCCGCGGUAAUACGGAAGGUCCGAGCGUUAUCCGGAUUUAUUGGGUUUAAAGGGUGCGCAGGCGGAGAUGCAAGCCAGCCGUAAAAUCGUGGGGCUCAACCCCAUUGAGCGGUUGGAACUUCAUCCCUUGAUUGCGGCAGAGGGAGGUGGAACUCGUGGUGUAGCGGUGAAAUGCAUAGAUAUCACGAAGAACUCCGAUUGCGAAGGCAGCCUCCUGGACCGUAAAUGACGCUCAUGCACGAAGGCGCGGGUAUCAAACAGGAUUAGAUACCCUGGUA
rnacentral:rRNA from 1 species